UAUCAGGGCUGGAAAUGUAACAAAUGACACAUGUAUCUGUGUUAUUAAAUGUGUCAGCAGGACAUGCCUGCGUUCUGUGGACUCAAAUUUAGUUAUAAAUAAAUAAAUGAUAAUAAUAAUGAUAAUGCUAAUUAUAAUAAUAACAACAAUAUCAAUAAUAAUACUAAGAAGAAUUAUUAUUUUACCGUUUAUUAUUAUGAUAAUAAUCCCUCUGCCGUUAGAUUUGACCUCUGUGACAGAUAUCUCCAACUCACUUCCAACACCGCCAUUGGCCACUGGAAUUAUGUCGGGAUCCAUAAUACAUGUAAACAUGCUCUUGUGGACGACAUACCUCUCACUCACGACGAAAGAAAAGAAUUGUCUGCUAUGUUUGAGGCCAUUUUGGAUAACAGGAACCGGAAGUGAAAAUUUGGAAUGGAUUGUGGGAUUUAACACUGACGUAAAAGUCUUAACGAUGCGUUAAUUAACGUCAGCAUUAAAACUGUUUCAGCAGCAUAAAGUUAAAGGCUGAUUAAAUUACGCUGCGUUAGGGUUCUUAACGGAGGUAAAGCUUAACGUUAAUGUUAUCUUAACGGUGCUGUGAGCAACCCGGCCCUGGCCUUGUGGAUUCUAAAUUACAGGUCAGAUAUCAGUUAAUGUAAUCGAUCCAGGUCAGAAUUCAAUAAACACCUUGGAUACAGGUUGGUUAUAGUGAACUUUAAGGAUUUCACGUAUUAUAAAUACAUCAAGUGGUCCCAUUGGAAUAAUAUACAAUGUUUCAUGUUCUCUUAUAGAAAUAAACAACUUAACUUGUCACUCAAUAUAUCAAGUUGUGUUGUAUUCAAUUAUAUGCGUAAAAACAUAAUUCCUAAUAGAUCAGGUUAAACAACAUUUUAAGAUUUUAACCCUUAAAUUUUUAUUUGUAUCCGAAAUAAUUCAACAUUUAAAGUAAACUACCCUUAAAUGUUUAUUAGACCAGUGAUCUAACUUCUUGGGAAAGUGUCGACAUCGCGAGUUGAAACAUAGAUGUGGAUGAGUUCGAACUAUGUUAGAUUUCGUGUUUGGUAGCCACAUUACGUCACAAGCGUCAGCAUAAGGCGUAUAGCUUGUAGACGACACAUUGCAUAUUGCAGACACGUGCAAAUCAAGUAUAAAAAUACUUUCGUUCAGAAAAUGUGAACACAACAUAAAGCAUAAGUGUGUUGUGCAAAUGUAAAUCGAAACGUCAGUGUCAGGAUUUAUGACAGUAAUACCCUAUCUCCCGUGUUGCACUAUUUUUUAUAUUGUUAGAUUUUAAUACAAAUUUAUUAUACGUGCGAUUGAUGUUCAAUGUUUACUAGAACGAGGACAUGGGGCGCUAUGCGUCUGAGUUGAUUAUUUCUGGUCUUAGCUGAUGGAACUAAAGAGACUCUAUAACCUAGUUUCCAGGAAAAUGGGGCCGGUAAUUAUUAGAUUUACCUGUUUCGAGUAUAAUAGGAAUCGGUGAGACUUGAUUUACUCGUGUCUUACCUUUCAAAAACGGCGCUUGUCAGGAAAUGGGCAGUUCUGAGGAUUUAGAGGUCGGCAGAUGCGCCAUGAAAGCCGGCGUCAACAUACAUAGCUCUCUUGACAGAUUCGAGGGGGGAAAGUUUCCACCCGGAUAAUAUAAACGAUUACAUGCCUGGGCCGCCACCGCAGUGGCUUAUUUAUUAUUCGUGGAAUAAACCAAAAGGGAUAAGAAAACUGUUGUACAGUUUUCCACGGAAACGGACUCGAGAAUGCCUAAAUAAGUCUUAAGCGUUCGAUGCAACUGAUGCGAAAGGUUCCUUUGUUCUGCAGUCAACUCAGCGUCACGUGGCACAGGAUGGAGACUCGUGACAUGCUCGUGUUUAUCACCUGCUUUACCUUGAUUCACGUGUACGGGCGCAACAUGGCGGCCUCCUACAAGAAAUUCUUCUCGUACAACAAAGUCAAGACAUUACCGAACGGAGUUCCCACCAUGAAAAGCGUGUGGUAUUAGAAAACUAGCAUUUUUUUUGCAGGGAGCGUUCUCAGUAUCGUUCCUUAACAAUGGUUACCUCGAUGUUCAAGUAUGGCCACGACAAUUAAAUACAUAGCAACUGAUAUUUGGUCGUUAUAUGGAACACCCAUAAAUCGUUUUGUUAACCAUUAAACUUGCGUGUAUAUGUGUAUCUUUAUAAUCUUUAAUCUUUGGCAUGGAUGCAUUACAUUAUUCAAUUCGAUAAGCUGUUCAGAAGUAAAUUUAUAGUUAAGGAUGAGUGUGUAUAUUUAUAUUAAAAAAGGCGUCGUGCAUGUUUCUAUAAUUUCUUUCAUUUAAAAUGUCAUACAACUCCC